GACAGAGGGUGCAAACGUUGUUCGGAAUUACUGGGCGUAAAGCGCGCGUAGGCGGACCUGCAAGUCGGGGGUGAAAGCCCGAGGCUCAACCUCGGAACUGCCUUCGAUACUGCGGGUCUCGAGUCCGGGAGAGGUGAGUGGAAUUCCUAGUGUAGAGGUGAAAUUCGUAGAUAUUAGGAAGAACACCAGUGGCGAAGGCGGCUCACUGGCCCCGGUACUGACGCUGAGGCGCGAAAGCGUGGGGGAGCAAACAGGG
rnacentral:rRNA from 1 species